UAAGGAAUAUUGGUCAAUGGAGGCAACUCUGAACCAGCCAUGCCGCGUGCAGGAAGAAGGCCCUAUGGGUCGUAAACUGCUUUUGAACAAGAGAAAACCCCGGUACGUGUACUGGGUUGAUAGUACUGUUAGAAUAAGCAUCGGCUAACUUCGUGCCAGCAGCCGCGGUAAGACGAAGGAUGCAAGCGUUAUCCGGAUUCAUUGGGUUUAAAGGGUGCGUAGGCGGACUGAUAAGUCAGUGGUGAAAUCUCUCGGCUUAACCGAGAAACUGCCAUUGAUACUGUUAGUCUAGAGUACAGAUGAUGUGGGCGGAAUAUGACAUGUAGUGGUGAAAUACUUAGAUAUGUCAUAGAACACCGAUUGCGAAGGCAGCUCACAAAACUGUAACUGACGCUGAGGCACGAAAGUGCGGGGAUCAAACAGGAUUAGAUACCCCAGUAGUCCCUGAGCGGGCUGGCAAGGCGCAU
rnacentral:rRNA from 1 species